AUGCCACGUGGCAAAGCUUUGCCGUGUUUGGCCGGAUGGCCCUCGGCAAAUACUGCCUUCAUCGAGUAUAGCAUGUUUGCCGAGCAAUACUGUCGGCAUUGUCGUGUGUUUGCCGACUUAUUCCCUCUGCCGAUUGCGACUCUCGGCACUCUUCACUUUGCCAAGUGCCCGUGUUUUGGCUCUCAGCGAAGACGCCGACACCCGGUGUAUACGAAAAUUCCAGUAGGCAAAGUGAUCAGGACCAAGAGUGUGGAGUACAUGCAAUUCUUCCUGUCGCUGAUCCCCAAUGGCCUCGGUACAAUCUUCAGCCUCAUCCAACUGAUCCUCUACUUUUACUACUACAGAUCGACCCCCAAGAAGGGCAAGAACGUCGAACUGCCCACCGUCCUCACCAAAAACGUAAACGUUUUCAACACCACGGGGGUCUCAGGCAGGGCGGCCCUUUUUCGCCGAUGUUGUUCAUCCUUGCUAUGGAACCCAUGCAGUGCAACUUGCACAAAGCCACUGAUGAAGGGGUUCUAUCUCAGAUUGAGCAGCGCUCUGCCAAUAUCCUCGAUGCAGAUGAUGCUCUCGGCAAAGGAUAGGCUAAAGAAAGACGACAAACCUCCAGUCCAGGAUCCAAGGCACCAUCCUUCUGGUACUCAUCCCCUCUAG
rnacentral:rRNA from 1 species